GUAUGUAUGUACAGUUCUGUGGCAUAUGGUAAGUAUUAGUGAGAAAAUAAGAUACAAACUAGAAAAGAAGCUACAAUUUCAAACAAUAGGGAAAGAAGUCCCCUUUGGAAGGUUCCCAUUAGUUAAGACCUGAGAGAAGUAAGGAGGUGACUAUAUGAUAUCUGGGCAAAGAGUCUUCCAGGAAGGACUUGUGGUAUUUGAGGACUAGCUUUUGGGAGUUGUGAUUUUUAAAAGUAUUGCAUAGGUUAAAGUUACUUUCGGGUUUCCAUGGAAAGAGAAAUUGCUUUGAACAUGAUCCGUGCUGUAAUAGACAUUGAUGCCAGGGACAUGGUGGACUUCUAAAGAUUACAAACUAAACAAAGGCCAUUGAAUCCCAAGUGAUGCUAUAUUAGGGCUGGGCUCAGAAAGACAGGUAGGAUUAAAAUGAAGACAGGGAAGGAUGGGGAAUUAAUGUUGGACACUACAGUGGAGUCACCCCAAAUUUGAAAGAACAGGGAUAGGGAUGAAGACGCAGCUCAAAAAAAAAAAAGUUGAAAUCAGACCACAAAAGAUUUUGUACCUAGGCCAUGGAGCUGGUGUGUCAUUUCGAAAGUGUUUCUGAACCAUCAUAUUUCAAAGGAAAGAAAAAGUGAAGCCAUUUCCCCAAGUAGGCUAGGCUGGCUGGCCAGUGAGCUCUAGGCUUGUCCCUAUCUUCAUUCGUGUUAUUUGUGGGAUUAAAACUGCAUACCACAAUACUUGUCUUCUAACAUGUGUUCUUGUGAUUGGACUCAGAUCGUAAUACUCGCAAGACAAAUGCUUGAUCAAUGGCAGCAUAUUCCAUGCCCUGCGUUGCAAUUUUACUUUCUUCUGACCCAGAAUAUACUCAUGACACUAG
rnacentral:lncRNA from 1 species